GAUGAAGAACGCAGCGAAAUGCGAUAAGUAAUGUGAAUUGCAGAAUUCAGUGAAUCAUCGAAUCUUUGAACGCACAUUGCGCCCGCCAGUAUUCUGGCGGGCAUGCCUGUCUGAGCGUCAUUUCAACCCUCAUGCCCCUAGGGCGUGGUGUUGGGGAUCGGCCAAAGCCCGCGAGGGACGGCCGGCCCCUAAAUCUAGUGGCGGACCCGUCGUGGCCUCCUCUGCGAAGUAGUGAUAUUCCGCAUCGGAGAGCGACGAGCCCCUGCCGUUAAACCCCCAACUUUCCAAGGUUGACCUCAGAUCAGGUAGGAAUACCCGCUGAACUUAAGCAUAUCAAUAAGCGUAGGA
rnacentral:misc_RNA from 1 species